ACUUCUCUUCAGAUAUCUCGGCUCCUAAACUCUUCAAAUAUGCUCGAAGUUCUUGCGCCUAACAAAAACAGUGAAAACAAAAUCGAAAUUUGCUUUUUGGUAACCUUUUCCAUCGUCUUAAAAUCCUGGUGGAGGUUGGAACUAUCUUGAGAGAGAAAGGACACUAUCAUUUCACAUCUGCAUGCAUGUUACAGGUACCUUUGGUAACCCUUUCCAUCGUCUUAAUAUCCUGGUAGAGACUGGAACUACCUUGAUGGAUAAAGGAUGCUCUGAUUCCACAUCUGCCCGCAUGUUACAGGUACCUUUGGUAACCCUUUCCAUCGUCUUAAUAUCCUGGUAGAGACUGGAACUACCUUGAUGAAAAAAGGAUGCUCUGAUUCCACAUCUGCCCGCAUG
rnacentral:lncRNA from 1 species